rnacentral:rRNA from 1 species
GGGGUGCUCGAGUGGCGAACGGGUGAGUAACACGUGAGUAACCUGCCCUUGACUUUGGGAUAACUUCAGGAAACUGGGGCUAAUACCGGAUAGGAGCUCCUGCUGCAUGGUGGGGGUUGGAAAGUUUCGGCGGUUGGGGAUGGACUCGCGGCUUAUCAGCUUGUUGGUGGGGUAGUGGCUUACCAAGGCUUUGACGGGUAGCCGGCCUGAGAGGGUGACCGGCCACAUUGGGGCUGAGAUACGGCCCAG